GCGCGGUCAAGGCCGAAUUUUACGGAACCGGACACACAGAAAUGGCGUUCCAAACCCGUAAUGUGACAUUAUCUCUUUAGAUCUUUUCACGAGCCCCACGUCAUUCAUGGCGUAAAAAAACAACAAAGCCCUGAAAGUUUGCGCUACGUAUCGCAAACACUGGCACGAUACUCGUUUAUUCGCCGGUUCGAAAUUUUAGAAACGAGGUUAAUAUUAAUGCUAUUAUAAUCGAACUAAUCGUAGGUAGGUAUUUUCAAUUAUUUAUAUUGUCGUAAUGUAAAUAAAAUAUUGUAUAUUAUAUAUAAAUAUAUUUAUAUGUAUAUAAAUACAGUAAAUGGGGGGGGGACUUCAGCCUUUUAGCCCCCCCUGCGUACGCCACUAUUUCAGUCAAUGUAUUAUUACUAUUGUAUUAUUUUUACGAUUGGCAGCGUCGAUUGCUACGGCGCGUUUUUAAAACGACGAAAACCAUCACACGAUUUUUGUACAAGUUAUAAGCUGGAUAAAUUAUUGGGUGGUUUGUACUUGAUGCACUUUGUUGAAUUGUUGUCCAUAUGGCCAUGAUCGACGUUACUUCGAUUUUCUCUGAUUAACACUGCAUAUUAAAGUCUAUGUUGCAAAAAUAUUAUGAAUUCAGAUUUUAAAAUCUAACGAUUCGAAGGAACGCUGCAGCAGCAGCAGACGUCAGUAUAAUAAACACUUCCUA